rnacentral:rRNA from 1 species
CUUAUAAGUCAGUGGUGAAAUCCUGCAGCUUAACUGCAGAACUGCCAUUGAUACUGUAAGUCUUGAGUGUGUUUGAAGUGGGCGGAAUGUGUCAUGUAGCGGUGAAAUGCUUAGAUAUGACACAGAACACCGAUUGCGUAGGCAGCUCACUAAACCACAACUGACGCUGAGGCACGACAGCGUGGGGAUCAAACAGGAUUAGAUACCCUGGUAGUCCACGCCGUAAACUAUGAUUACUCGAUGUUGGCGAUAUACAGUCAGCGUCUAAGCUAAAGCGUUAAGUAAUCCACCUGGGGAGUACGGUCGCAAGAUUGAAACUCAAAGGAAUUGACGGGGGCCCGCACAAGCGGAGGAGCAUGUGGUUUAAUUCGAUGAUACGCGAGGAACCUUACCAGGGCUUGAAAGUUAGUGACCGCUGCCGAAAGGUGGCUUUCCUUCGGGACACGAAACUAGGUGCUGCAUGGCUGUCGUCAGCUCGUGCCGUGAGGUGUUGGGUUAAGUCCCGCAACGAGCGCAACCCCUAUUUUUAGUUGCCAGCGAGUAAUGUCGGGGACUCUAAAGAAACUGCCCGCGUAAGCGUGGAGGAAGGUGGGGAUGACGUCAAGUCAGCACGGCCCUUACGUCCUGGGCUACACACGUGCUACAAUGGACGAGACAGUGGGCAGCUACAUAGUAAUAUGAUGCUAAUCUCCAAACUCGUUCUCAGUUCGGAUUGAGGUCUGCAACUCGACCUCA